ACCACCCCUUGUCUAGAAAUGUAGAAGUCUUCGGGGAAAAGUCGGUUCCCUCAAGGGGAUUCGAACAGGUGCUGCAUGGCUGUCGUCAGCUCGUGUCGUGAGAUGUUGGGUUAAGUCCCGCAACGAGCGCAACCCUUGUCCUCCAGGCCAUCAGGGUAAAGCCGGUCACUUUGGGGGAAUGCCGGGUGUAAACCGGAGGAAAGUUGGGAUGAAGUCAAGUUCCCAUGGCCCUUUUGUCCAGGGCCACACCCCUGGUACCAAGGGCGGUGCAAAGGGGCACCAACUCGGGGGCCUGAACCUAAUCCUCAAAAGCCGUCUCAGUUCGGAUUGCAGUCUGCAACUCGCCUGCAUGAAGGUGGAAUCGCUAGUAAUC
rnacentral:rRNA from 1 species